AUACCUUUGUCGGCCUUUUGGCUAAGAUAAGGUGUAAUAUUUGUUCUUAUUAGUUUAAUAUAUGAUAUGUGGACCAUAUCUUCACUCUGAUAUUAAAUUUUUUGGGUAUCAAAUAUGGUUGUAUACCGUCCCAACGCAU
rnacentral:snRNA from 1 species